CCUACGGGAGGCAGCAGUGGGGAAUAUUGGACAAUGGGCGCAAGCCUGAUCCAGCAAUACCGCGUGUGUGAAGAAGGCCUUCGGGUUGUAAAGCACUUUUAUAUGGGAAGAAGUGUUGUGUGUUAAUAGCGCAUGACAUUGACGGUACCAUAGGAAUAAGCACCGGCUAACUCCGUGCCAGCAGCCGCGGUAAUACGGAGGGUGCGAGCGUUAAUCGGAAUUACUGGGCGUAAAGGGUACGUAGGCGGCUUAAUAAGUCAGAUGUGAAAUCCCCGGGCUUAACCUGGGAACUGCAUUUGAAACUGUUUGGCUAGAGUGAGUGAGAGGUAAGUGGAAUUCAAGGCGUAGCGGUGAAAUGCGUAGAGGUCUUGAGGAACAUCAGUGGCGAAGGCGACUUGCUGGCACUACACUGACGCUGAGGUACGAAAGCGUGGGGAGCGAACAGGAUUAGAUACCCUGGUAGUCCACGCCCUAAACGAUGAGGACUGGCUGUUGGUGCUAUAGACGCAUCGGUAGCGAAGCUAACGCGUUAAGUUCUCCGCCUGGGGAGUACGCCGGCAACGGUAAAACUCAAAGGAAUUGACGGGG
rnacentral:rRNA from 1 species